rnacentral:lncRNA from 1 species
AGAGUCGACACAUAGCAACACACAACGCUGUGAGAUGCGGUGCUGUCGUUCAUAGAUCUGCUUCAAUUUUCUACCAUUGAGCAUUGAAUCGUGGCGCCACCAUCAGAGUUGAAGGAAGGCAAGGACUAGUAGAAACAGUCGAUGAGAAGAAAAAGAUAAAGAAGUCGGCUUGAGAAUCAGCUAGAGCUAGCUGGAGUAGAGCCCCCGGAAGCCGCCAAGCUUUUUGGUCUUUGGAUUUAAUCUGAGUGCAAUCGUACACAAUAGCGACAUUUUGAUUGUAAUAAUGGCGAUGUGAUAGCAUUUUUCAAUCUGAUUUGUUAGUAUUUUUGGGCAAUGGUUUUGUUGAAUCUUGUUGGUUGCAAUGGUAGUGAUGGUUUGUUGGUGGUUGUGUUGGUAAGCUGGUAGUAACAGCGAUGUUUUUAUUGGUGCGGGCGACGAUUUUGUUGAUUUCGAUUUUGUUGGAUCUCUUGUUAGUGGCAUUGGUGAUAGUGGGUUGUGUAAUGGUUGGAGCUCA